rnacentral:rRNA from 1 species
CAAUAGCGUAUAUUUAAGUUGUUGCAGUUAAAAAGCUCGUAGUUGGAUUUCGGUUAAGAGCGACCGGUCCGCCGUUUGGUGUGCACUGGUUGGUUUUAACUUCCUGUAGAGGACGUGCUCUGGGUUUAACGACCUGGACUCGGAGUCUACGUGGUUACUUUGAAAAAAUUAGAGUGUUCAAAGCGGGCUUACGCUUGAAUAUUUCAGCAUGGAAUAACGCUAUAGGACUCCUGUCCUAUUUCGUUGGUCUCGGGACGGGAGUAAUGAUUAAGAGGAACAGUUGGGGGCAUUCGUAUUUCAUUGUCAGAGGUGAAAUUCUUGGAUUUAUGAAAGACGAACUUCUGCGAAAGCAUUUGCCAAGGAUGUUUUCAUUAA